rnacentral:rRNA from 1 species
UGCCAGCCGCCGCGGUAACACGGGGGGCGCAAGCGUUAUUCGGAAUUAUUGGGCGUAAAGGGCGCGCAGGCGGUCUUGUAAGUCUGGCGUGAAAGCCCGGGGCUCAACCCCGGAAGUGCGUUGGAUACUGGCAGUCUUGAGUAUGGGAGAGGAAAGUGGAAUUCCGAGUGUAGGAGUGAAAUCCGUAGAUAUUCGGAGGAACACCAGUGGCGAAGGCGGCUUCCUGGACCAAUACUGACGCUGAGGUGCGAAAGCGUGGGGAGCAAACAGGAUUAGAUA